UUAUUUAUAAAAUAUUAAAUAUACUUUUAUAAACACAUUUAACUGAUAUUUCGAGGUUUUGAAUCUAUACUAUUAAUUGGGAAGGAUUACAUGAAAAAUAACCUUACCAAGUGUAAAUAAUUACAAGAGAAUGCCAUUACAAUUAAAAUUUCAAAGACAAAAUAAAAAUUUGCGUGGAGGGGUAAAAUUGUAAAAUUCCCGCACGCGAGACGCGGAUCCCGGAUCCUACACUCGGAUCUUUUGCGUCUGUGAAUCUGACCCGAUGAGAUUCUAUAUUUCCUAUUGGGCUUAGAUAUUUCCUACAGGCCCAUCGUUAAUCCCUUUUACUUCAAAUUUCCGAAUCUGUAUAGAUAAUACGAAAUAAAAACAUUAGCAACACAAAUCAAACAAUACCAUAACUAUUUUUCCGGAUCAAUCAACUACUCUGUAUAUUGCUUUAACAAACAAAUCUCAUAAUUUACACUUCCUAAAAUAAAACGUAUUUAUUUCUAUUCCAUAUAAUAACAAAUCAAGCAUAUUCUUUACUUAUUCUAAAUCGGGAAUAAGUUAGCAAUUAAUUUUUUGAUUAAUUACACUCAAAUCUCGCAAAAAUCUUACCAUAUCACCGGAAACAGUUCAUUCCAAUGUAAAAAUAUAUAUUUAGACGGCAAAUUAAAUGCAAAACUUAUUAAUUCCUAUUACCCUAUAUUAAUAGGAAAGAUACAAUAUUGUAACCUAUUCGAUAAUUAUCGCCCAAAUCUCGCAAAGAUCUUUCCAUAUCAACACAAACUAUCAAUGCCAAUUUUAAAAAAUUUCUUUACAUGCAAAACUCAAUCAUUCAAAUUUCUCUAUAUUGAAAGAUAUAGAAUUCUAACUUAUUAUAUUUCCCUUAGUAGUUGGUAUUCAAACUCACACAAUCUCUACAAUAUCCAUAUUCAGUUCGAUAUUGAUAUACCAAACAAAUAAAUCUCCCUAAAUCAAGCAUAUAUCUUUAAGAUCCUAAUCCCAAAAUAUAUUAUACGGCCUAUAUUCUCUAAAACCUAAUAAAACUAAAUGCUCCAUACGAUUACUAUAAAUAUAGGGACCUGCAUUAGAAAGAACUCACCUUUCAAAGCUUUACCAUUACCACUUCACUAUUUCUCUAAUAAAAUGGCAGCUAUUCAAGCAUUCACCCCUCUUGCUGACAUUAAGCCCUUCAAAACACAUUGGAAAAUUCAAGUUAAGAUUGUGCAUUCGUGGACACAAUACACUCAAUUCACCGGGGAGACAGUUGAAAUGGUUCUUGCUGAUACAGCUGUAAGUAUAAGAACUAUCAUUUUGAAACAUAUUAAACAUUUAUCAAUCAUCAAUAUCACUGGAUGAUUAACAUGAGUUCUUUUUAUCUGUUGCCAGGGUACUUUGAUUCAUGCUACUGUUAAGAAGCCACAAGUGAGCAAACUGCAAAGGUUCAUAGUUUCUGGAGAAUGGCGUAUUAUCGAGCAUUUUACGCUAACCAAAUCAACAGGAAAGUAUCGAGCCACAAAACAUGGUUUCAAAAUGUCCAUGAUGGAAAAAACUGUGAUAAGUCGCACUCCUUCUGUUUCUGAUGACAUUUAUGUGGAUCUGGCAAACUUUCCAGAUAUUUUGAAUGAAGCAGGAUUGAGUGAAAACAUCUUAAUUGGUACUAUAUCUAUCUUACUUUCCAUUGUAUAUUUUCUUUUUCUAUUAUAAUAGGAACUUCUUCAUGAAAAUAUAAUAUAUUACUCUCUUAUUUUGCAGAUGUACUUGGACAGGUAGUUAGUUUCAAUGAAAUGAAAAUUCAUGAUGUUAAUAACAAGAUCACAAAGAGACUUGAGUGUGAACUCAGAGACACAAAGUAAGUUUUAUCAUGAAUCUACCUUUUUUAUUUAAUCUUACAUACAUCUAAACUUAAAACUUUCUCAAUAUUUUUGUUGUAUUGUAGUGAUGAAAGGCUGAAAUGCACUCUUUGGGGGAGAUUUGCUGAGGCAAUGUAUAAUGCAUGUCAAAAUGCAGGGACUGAGAGAGUGAUAUGCUUACUUCGGCUUGCAAAGAUCAACUCAUUUAAAGGUAUAGAAUGUUGUUACUGGGAAUAAUGGAUGAUUUUGAAAUCGAAAUGAAAUCAGAACAUAUGUGAAAAUACUAAUAUCAUGCUGUUUGUAGGUGAAAGAGCUGUUUUAAAUUCAUUUGAUAUGUCUCUAUUGGAAAUCAAUGCUACCUACCCUGCUGUUCUUGAUUUUGUGGCCAAGUAAGAUAUGUUUAAACAUCACAUUUCUUUUACUAAUAUAGAUAACUGUUAAUCCUUUUUAUAAUAUCUAAAGUUGAUUUCGUGUUCUUUUAUUUGUUAAAAAUAGUUUACCACCGGAUGUUAUUCCACUGACUAUCGAAGACUCGAAGGCAAAACAAGUGAAUGCAGAACAGAGAAAAAAGGAUUACUAUGAUCGUUUUCCAAGGAAAACCAUCUCUGCACUCUUUUGUUUUGCUGAGGUAUUUGUAUUGGAUAAUAUUAUUUUUUCUAGAAACUAUUAAAUUCUCUGUCUAUACUACUAAUUAUCUAUUUUUUUGUAAUAGACUGGAAAGUGCAACAUAAUUUGUACCAUAAUGAAUAUCGACACAGACUAUUCUUGGUAUUUCUUUAGUUGCCUCAAGUGUAGCAAAACUGCCUAUAAGAUUCCAAAGGUUGAAAAUGAGAUUGUCAAGAAAGGCAAGAAAGAAAUGUUUUGGUGUCCAACAUGUAAGGAAGACACUCCUAAGGUGAUACCAAGGUAAGACUUUGAGAUUUGCUAAUAUAUAUCUACAUUUGUCAGAUAAUAACUAGGUACAUAAUCUACUUUCCUGUUCCUUUGAUAUGUAGGUAUCUUUUAAACGUUGGAGUGAUGGAUAGCACUGGAGACACUAAAUGUCUUAUCUUUGAUAAAAGUGCACAAGAGAUAAUCGGUGUGUCUGCAGAGGAUUUGCUGGAAGGGAAGUGGGAUGAGGUAAACAAAUUUAUUGUUAAUAUGUAUAUAGACCAUAUUAUUCAAAUAUCUUAUAUACUUUUUUCAAUCUAUCAUAACAGAUUCAGGAUCCUACAAACGUGCCUCAGCCAAUCAGAGAUUUGGUUGGAAAGACUUUCCAGUUUCUGGUGACUGUUGGAAAGGAAAACAUCAAUGAAACUGAUGAUACCUACAAGGUUUCAACCGUUUGGCUGGGUAAUGAAUCUGACAAUCUAGAUACUAUUGAAGAUUCUGACCAGCAGACUGACCAACGUAAUGACCUCUCUAUUGAUCAGGUAAUGUUAGUAGGUGCAACCAAAAUCAAUCUAUCAAAAAGUUAUUCAAGUUUAUCACUAAAGGGCUGGAUCGUGUUUCAAUUAAAUAGUGAGUACCAUCAGUUAUACUCAAGUCAGGGAAUAAAUUAUGGAUACUCAUAACUAUAUAAUUUAAUGACUUUGUUAUAUGAAAGAUUAUCUAUUAUAUAUUGACUCUCCUGAUUUUCUUACUUACAAGAAGGACUUGCUCUGACCAAUAGUGGUGAAACCACUGACCCUUUAGAUCCUACAUCAUCCACUCCUUCAUCUAAGCGUAGUAUGGAUGCAGUUUCUGAGGACAUUGAAGGUCAGGGUUCUACUACUAAAAAGGCAUGUGUCUCUUCCCUUCUUGGUGACAUUGAGAAGGAAGAGAUUGAAGGUGGCAAGAAUUAAGUUGUGCUGGCUGGGAAUAAUGUAGGGAGCUUGGCUGUAGCAAUUAGUUUUCUAUUUUUUCUUUUGUUCAAGUUUCAAAACUUAUUUAGUUUUUUCCUUCAGCUAUGUGCUAUUUAAUUCUCAGUUAUUUUGAAUUCAAGCAAUAAACUCUAAGCUUCUCCUUAAACGAAACUCUUUGCAAAAUAUAAACUAACUUAUGCUUAAACUAAAGAUCACAAAACAGAAAGAGAAAAUAUACUAACCUGUGCUUUGUACUGAUGAAUUUUCAUAUAUAAGCCCCAUUACUGUAGCUAACACUGCAGAUAAAAGAAAACACAUAUUAGUAACAAACAUUGAGAGACUGCGAUGAAUCUAUACUAAUCUGACGAUAUCUAUACUAUAAAUGGCUAACUUAAUUAAUAUGUGAGAUAUAUAAGUACAUAUAUUUUAAAGGGCAUAUGUGCAAAUAUUUUAAAGAUCGUAAGCUAUUAAAAUCUAUCUCCUAUUCUAAAUCGUUAACUAAUUGGAAUAGUAUAGCAGUAUAGAUAAAUCAGUUUUAAAAGGGUUCAUUGUUGCAGUAUAACAACUGUUUUCACGACCAAUUUAAUAUUUAACCUAUUAAUAUACAAGAUUCUAUGCUAAAAAUAAGAAUCAAUCAAUUAGAUUUUAUUAUGAAUAUGGAAAAGAAAAUAUAUUCUGUAAUCUUUUCAGUUUAAUGCUAUCACACUAAAUCAGGCCGAGACGAUUUCUUUACAAUCAUUACAUAACCAUUUUACACCUUCAAUCCUAAUCUACAGCGACUCGCCUCAUUAGCAAAGAAACAACUAUAAGGUCAGUCUUUUAAUAUCUUUCAACAUAUAACAUGUUCAUUGACAAAUGACAUAAUUGGAAUUAUUUUUCUAACAAAUCUAUUUUGUUUUUCAGAAUGAAGAGAAGAAAAAAUGAAACAGUAAAAGAAAAUAACAAUGUAAUGCAGACACCUAACACAAAGCGUUCUAGGUCUCAGCUAUAUGAUGAAAACAUAAAUCCAAAUCUACAGAACCAACAAGAUAGGAGUGAUGUUCAAGUAAAAGGGAUUUUUAAUCGAUUGAGAUCUGGAAUAGGUAACAUACCAGCCCAGCAGUGUGAUUCUGAAGCCUUACAGACAGUAACUGGUCCUUCUUCUUCUGCAGCCAUACAAAAGGAAACACAAGGUAUGUAAACAUUUAUAUUCCAACAAUAUAGCAUCUACAUAUGAUACAACUAAUAAAUAAUCAUAAUGUAUAGGAUUUGCAUCUACAGUUACUUAUAAUACGAGUGUAAGAUCAGCCAAAAAAACAGCAAGGACACAGAGAAGACCUUUUCAAGAUGUGCAGAACAUUAUUAAUACAUCACAGCUUCACAGCGAGGUUCACCAAACUCCACUUAAUCCACAUAAGCCACCAGAAAAAAAGGGGAAAAAGUGGAGUCCACCAUCUGUUAAUAGCAAACAAGGUAUACAUGCCUCUCAAUAAUAUGAAACUAUUACAUAAAAAAUAGACCUGAUAGAUCAACACUGAUGGAGUAAUGUUUAUUUCAUGAAGCUGCUAAGGGUAUUAUACUUACCAAUUCAAGAAUCAAUCUGAGGUUCCCAAAGUCUUUGGCAAAGGAGAAGAAAACAUCUGACAAGAGUUAUGAUACAACAAUCGAAGAAGACUCUGAUGAGAUCCUGAAUUCAAAGGAAGAAACAUAUAUUAAUAUGAGUAAGUAAAAAUCAUUAUGAUAUAUUUUCUAAACUUAAUAAAGCAUCCACUAAUCAGGGGAAAAAACUAUGAUAGGUGAUUUGGAGGAAACACGUGAACAGGUUUACGAGUGUAGUAGUCCAGAUGAAAAUGAUUCAGAAAUAUCUGAAGAUUAUGAAACCAUAGACGAUAUCCCAAUCGAAGUCAAACAAAGAUAUGAGUUUUUAUCAAUGUUAGAUGAAAGUUUGACCAAAGCUUUUGGAGAAAUAAAAACUCCUAAUGUUUCUAGCAGAAAGAACAAAAACACAAGUACUACAUCAUUGGUUUAUUUCUAAUUCUUUUCUUACACAAACUUUACUUAUGCUAAACUUAUUCCCGUUAUUGUAGAGUAUCUAGAUCAUGGAGAUCCUGUCUACUCAUGUUCCUACUGCGGUGCUAUUAUGUGGUAUGGCGAACGCAUCAACAGACAUAAGAAAGUUCGUAAACCAAUUUUUACUCAAUGUUGUCUGCAAGGAUCUGUGAAACUGCCUUUCCUCCAUAAUCAACCAGAACUGUUAUUUGCUUUUCUAAGCAAUGAUGAUGACAUGAGUAGACACUUUAGAGAGAACAUCCGAGCAUAUAACAUGAUUUUUUCAUUUACUUCUCUUGGGGGUAAGUGUGAUAAUUCUGUUACAGCGGGAAGGGGUCCUAAUAUGUUUCAGAUACAAGGAGAGAAUUACCACCAGAUGGGAAGUUUGAAACCUGGAGAAGGUGAAUUUCCUAAGUUUAGUCAGCUAUAUAUAGUUGACACAGAGAAUGAAGUUGAAAACAGAGCAGGAAUUUUAAGGUACAUUUUCUAACUCAAAACAAGCCAUCACAGUAUCCAGACUUUGUGUUUUUUUCUGUAAGUAUUAGUGUCGUUGCUAACUAAAUUAAUAUUUCAGCAAAGGAAAAUCUGCUGGGAAAUAUAAGAAGAAGUCAGAGUUGAGAAAAGAAAUAAUUGAGGCGAUAAUAAAGCUGCUAAAUGAAGUUAAUCCAUACGUUGCUCAUUUUAGACAAGCUCGUGAUAGGUUUAAUACCAAUCCUGAACAGAGCUUUCAUAUGAAAAUAGUGAGUGACCGUGUCAAAGAUGGAAGAACAUAUGCAGUGCCAACAGCUUCGGAGGUCGCAGCGCUGAUUCCAGGUGAUUUUCACAUUGGUAUGCCAAGUCGUGACAUUAUUAUUGAAGAAAAAUCUGGGUAUUUACAAAGAAUCAGUGAAAUAGAACCAUGUUAUCUUGCUCUACAAUACCCUCUAUUGUUUCCAAAGGGUGAAGAUGGUUAUAGGACAGGUAUUCAGAAAGGGAAUAACCAUGGUAAAAAGAAAAACAAGCCCGAAGGAACUGAGGAGAAUGAUUGCAUAAGUUUGCGUCAAUGGUAUGCGUAUCGUAUACAAGAGAGAAAGAAUGAACAAAGUAUCCUGCUAAGGUCAAAACGGUUGUACCAGCAGUUCUUGGUUGAUGCUUAUACCACCAUUGAAGCUAAUAGGCUCAAAUAUAUUAAACUGAAUCAGUCAAGUUUACGAGCUACUAACUAUGAUUCAGUUAAAGAGGCGGCAACAGCAGGAAAGACAGAUAUGAAUGAAGAAGGAAAAGCAUUUUAUCUACCAGCUACUUUUGUUGGUGGGCCAAGAUACAUGAAGAACAUGUACAUGGAUGCAAUGUCUACAUGUAAUCAUUAUGGAUUUCCUGACCUAUUCAUUACGUUCACAUGCAAUCCAAAAUGGCCUGAGCUGGUAAGCUUUUGUACUGAGAGAAAUUGUAAUUCCGAUGAUAGGCCAGAGAUCAUAAGCAGAAUGUUCAAAAUGAAGCUGAAUUCUCUAAUGGAUGAUUUAACGAAGAAACAUAUAUUGGGGAAGACUGUUUCAUGUAAGUGAUUUAUUUUAAUAGUUGCGUUAACAGUCUAUAAUUUAAUUAUCUGUCUCUGCUAUUUUUCUAAAUGUCGUUUAACUAAUAUUAUUAUCUCAUGUUGUUCUCGCAGCAAUGUAUACAAUUGAGUUCCAGAAAAGAGGUCUUCCUCAUGCACAUAUAUUGAUAUGGAUGCAUCCAAGUUCUAAGUUUCCAAAACCAGAAGACAUUGAUAAAAUCAUUUCUGCGGAAAUUCCUGACAAGACUAAAGAACCAGAACUUUAUGAGGUCGUAAAAGACAUGAUGAUUCAUGGACCAUGUGGCGUCGUCAACCAGAAUUCACCAUGUAUGCUUGAAGGGAAAUGUUCUAAGUUUUUCCCAAAAAAACUUAGAGAACAUACUAAAGUUGAUAAAGAAGGUUUCCCUUUGUACAGAAGAAGAAAGACAAAGCUGUUUGUGGAGAAGUGUGGAUUUAGGUGUGACAACGGAUAUGUUAUACCCUAUAACAAGAAGUUGCUGCUUCGCUACAGAGCUCAUAUUAAUGUUGAGUGGUGUAACCAAACUGGCUCUAUCAAGUAUUUAUUCAAGUAUAUCACUAAAGGGAUGGACAGAGUUUCAGUAGUUGUUGAGCCUAAUGAAAAGUCUACAAAGACUACAACUACUACAGAGAAGUCUGAUAGUUCAAACAGUGGGGGCACAAGUAAAAAUGAAAUACAAGACUUCUUUAAUUGCAGGUAUAAAAUCUACUUGGAUUUAGGUAAAUAGUUUAGAUGCUUAACUCAUUUCUAACUAAUACAUGUUUUAUGAUAUUGUAUCAGAUAUGUAUCAGCAUGUGAAGCUGGAUGGAGAAUCUUGAAAAAUCCUAUACAUUAUAGGUCAACGUCUGUUCAAAGAUUAUCCUUCCAUCUACCAGGCAAACAACUAUUAUAUUUUAAAGGUGAUGAUGAGGUGAAAACAGUUUUGAAAAAAUCAGAAUUACAGAAUUCGAUGUUUCUUGCUUGGUUUGAAUUGAACAAGCGGUGUCCUAAAGCCAAAGAUCUAACAUAUACUCAGAUUCCGGAAUAUUAUACUUGGGAUGGUAAAACAAGAACUUUCAAUAUGAGGAAACGACCAGGGAAAACAAUCGGAAGGAUUAAUUAUGUCCCACUUAUUUAUGAGGAAGGUUAUUAUUUAAGAGUGCUUCUAAAUCAUCAAACUGGACCUGAAAGUUUCGAAGACAUCAAAACAGUGAAUGGCGUGGUGUACAAAUCGUUCAAGGAGGCAUGUUAUGCUCUGGGUUUGCUUGACGAUGACCAGGAGUAUAUUGAUACAAUAAAGACAACCAGUUUUUGGGCUACUGGAAACUACUUGCGUUGUAUGUUUGUUGUAAUGCUCCAGUCUACCAGCUUAUCUCAACCAGAAGUUGUUUGGGAAAAAACAUGGGAACUUCUAUCAGAAGACAUCGAAAGAAAAAGGAGAGAGUACUUUAAAAGACCAGGUAAUUUUUGAUCAAAUAAUUUAGUCUCUUUGGUUGGUUUAAAGAGUUGUUACUUUACAAUUUUAAGUAGUUUUUGUCAUGAUUAUUCUGUCUUACAAAUAACACUGUUUUUUUACAUAUUUUUGGGACACAGAACUAACACUUACGGACGAGCAAAAACAGAUGUUGGCUUUAAAAGAAAUCAACAGCAUCUUACGAAGCAAUGGAACAUCUCUAACAGCUUUCAGAACAAUGCCACAGUUACCUGAUGAGGAAAUUGAUGAUAGUAAUGUCUUGAUACUUGAUGAAAAAAGCUACGAUAGCAAUGAACAGAAGGAAAAACUUGAAGAAUCGUUGCAGAAAAUGACAGAUGAGCAGAAGAGUGUUUAUUUAGAGAUCAUCGAUGCUGUUGAUAAUGACAAGGGAGGUGUCUUCUUUGUCUAUGGCUUUGGUGGAACUGGUAAAACUUUUAUAUAUACGACACUCUCAGCUUCUGUAAGAUCUAGAGGUUCUAUUGUGCUAAAUGUGGCUUCCAGCGGCAUUGCUUCUCUAUUGUUACCUGGUGGGAGAACAGCGCACUCUCGGUUUGGUAUUCCAAUAAAUCCAGACGACUUCACUGUAUGUAAUAUUGAGAAAGGUUCAAAUCAGGCAGAAUUAAUAGAAGAAGCGUCUUUGAUAAUUUGGGAUGAAGCUCCAAUGAUGAGUAAGCAUUGUUUUGAAUCUAUGGAUAGGAGUUUCAAAGACAUUAUUAAAGGUGGUGGAAACAAACCGUUUGGUGGCAAAGUAGUUGUUUUUGGUGGAGAUUUCAGACAAGUACUACCUGUGAUACAUGGUGCUUCGAGAGCAGAAAUUUGUAUGGCUGCACUUAAUGCUUCUUAUCUUUGGAAUCAUUGCAAAGUUCUGAAACUCACGAAAAAGAAGCGUCUUUGAUAAUUUGGGAUGAAGCUCCAAUGAUGAGUAAGCAUUGUUUUGAAUCUAUGGAUAGGAGUUUCAAAGACAUUAUUAAAGGUGGUGGAAACAAACCGUUUGGUGGCAAAGUAGUUGUUUUUGGUGGAGAUUUCAGACAAGUACUACCUGUGAUACAUGGUGCUUCGAGAGCAGAAAUUUGUAUGGCUGCACUUAAUGCUUCUUAUCUUUGGAAUCAUUGCAAAGUUCUGAAACUCACGAAAAAUAUGAGGCUACUUUCAAAGGAUUUGAGUCCAAGUGAGGCUAAGGAUAUAAAAGAAUUUUCAGAGUGGAUUCUAGCAGUUGGUGAUGGUAAGAUAGCACAGCCUAAUGAUGGAGAAGUGAUGAUAGAAAUUCCAAAAGAGUUUUUGAUCACAAACGCUGAUAAUCCAAUUGAGGCAAUAAGCAGGGAAGUUUAUGGAGAUCCUAAGUUAUUGAAGGAUGAAACCGAUCCUGUAUUUUUCCAACAAAGGGCUAUUUUAUGUCCUACCAAUGAAGAUGUGGGUAUUGUCAACGAUUAUAUGCUUGAUCAACUCGAAGGUUAGUCUCCACUACUCUUAAUAUUUUAGGCAUUUCAUUGAGAUAUGAUGUAUUAUAAAGACAUUUUAAAUUAUUUGUAGGUGAUGAACAACUAUACCUAAGUUCAGAUUCUGUUGAUCCUUCUGAUAUUGGAGGUACAAAUAAUCCCGUGUUGACAUCAGAGUUUUUGAACGGUCUAAAGAUAUCUGGAUUGCCAAAUCAUGGUAUAAGGUUGAAAGUUGGUUGUCCUGUGAUGUUACUACGAAAUUUAGAUCCAAGAGGAGGGCUAAUGAAUGGCACUAGACUGCAAAUAACACAAAUGGGUGAUAAAGUCAUUGAGGCUGUCAUUAUUACAGGUGAUAGAGUCGGAGAUAAAGUCCUCCUUCCCAGGAUAUUGAUAUCUCCAUCUGAUACUAAACUUCCUUUUAAAAUGCGUCGAAGACAACUUCCAAUAGCAGUUGCUUUUGCUAUGACCAUUAAUAAAAGCCAGGGACAAUCGUUGAAUAAGGUUGGCAUCUAUCUACCAAGGCCAUGCUUUUCUCAUGGCCAACUCUAUGUAGCUAUCUCAAGGGUAACUUCAAAAAAAGGACUGAAGAUACUCAUAGUGGACAAAGAAGGAAAGCCGCACAAGGAAACGUUGAAUGUGGUGUUUAAGGAAGUCUUUCAGAACCUAUAAGGUUACACAUUGCAAAAGACAUUUGGUUUAAGAGGUAACAAUCAAUAAAAACUGAUUAUUAUUUUCACCUGUUACACUUUACUAAUUUCUUAUUGGUUGUCUGAACAGGUAGAAGCUGGUAUGGAAAUGGAAAUUUGGUAGUAAUCUCUUCAAUCUACGACUUCCAUUGAAGAGAUUAUUUUACCAAACUUGGUCUGUUAUUCUCUCAAUUCUCUUUUAAUAAUAUAGAUUCAGAAAUUUUGAUUAUUAAUAUCAGCAUAACUUUGUUUUAAAUAAUUUUUCAUUUACAUUUAAAUCAUAUUAAGUACAAAAAGGUAAACUAUUAAAAGUUUACUAAUUCAAAAAACAUAUACAGAAUCUAAAUAUUCUGUUAAUUCAUAUAAACAAGUAGUAUUACUUUAAUAUCUUAUCAACCAAUUGCAGAAUUUAACAUACAUGUCAACAGAGAAUAUAGUAAAAUCAUUUUCGAAAAACAAUUAACACAUCACGACAACUUCAUAUUUAAUUGUGGAUCUAAAUACUUCUUGAAUCAUUUAGACCUCACUAACCUUUAUCAGUGCUUUCAGAAGCUGGACUGGCUUUAUCAUUGCUUUCACAUUUGCCUUCUUUAAAGAUGUUGCCUGGUCUGUAAACAUAGAAUUAUCUAGCAUCAGUACCAUUAUAAUUGUAACUAACAAAUAGCAAAAACUAGAUCCUGUUACAAAAAAUCGAUACUAUUAUUUAAGUACAUAUUUACUUAUAUAUUUUACUUAUAUAUAAUCUAUUAUAUAAAAAAUCUAUCAUGAAUAACAAAAACUAAAGAAACUUCCAUAUUUGACGGUUUAUACAAUCUAGGCAAAUCUAGAUCCUGUUACAAAAAAUCGAUACUAUUAUUUAAGUACAUAUUUACUUAUAUAUUUUACUUAUAUAUAAUCUAUUAUAUAAAAAAUCUAUCAUGAAUAACAAAAACUAAAGAAACUUCCAUAUUUGACGGUUUAUACAAUCUAGGCAAAUCUAAAUCGUUGGGUGUAUCUUGAAAAAUGUAAACUGUAUCCUUUUGUAAUAAUUAGCAAUGAUUUGCAUCAGUCUUUUCAAAUUUUUAUAUUUUAUAUAUUCUAUUAACGAUUCAGUUUCCUUUUCUUUUUAUUUUAAUCCUUUGCGUCUCUUAACCAAUAUAUCUAUAUCUAUAUAUAUGCGUUGAGAGAUUUUAGAUUUACAGAGAUAUCUUCCCAGUUGAAAGCAAAACAAAAUCUUUUAGAAACUAUGGAGAAAAUGCACCUUCUCUCUGAUUUGCGAAGACAUUCCACAAAGUGGAGGGUUUGUGUUAAGAUAAUGAGUAUCUGGCAUCAUAAUCCUCCUUUCAAUGGUGAUCUAACUACAAUGAUUCUCGCAGAUGAGAAGGUUUGUUUCUAAUUCUAUUGUUCUGUUUUACACCUUUUUAAAAUCAUGUUCUAGGGUUGAAAAACUACUUAUCUAAUUUGUUUCUUUCCUUUGUAUAGGGGAAUUUAAUGGACGCAACAAUUCCACAAGGUUACUACCUCUGGAACUUUCAGCGAGGACUCAAACAAGACGUUUGGUACUACAUGACUGACUUUCAAGUCAUCAUACCUAAAAACCAAGUCAGAUAUUCAACUAUGCCACUUCAGGUUAAGUUUUUGAGUGGAACUACCAUGUGGCCUGUUAGAUCUAAGUCUUGGAACAAUUACUGGAACUUUGUUUGGCCUGAUACUGUCAUAAAUGCUCAUGAAGAUGAUAAAAACUCUGUCUUUGGUAAUAAUUUGUGAAAUUAAAUGUUUUAUACCAAGAUUUAUUAUAUAUGAAGACUUAUAUGACCAUUUUCCUUUAAUUUUUACUUAGAUGCUAUGGGAGUUAUCUCUGCUGUUUCCACCAUAGGAAGGUUUCCAUAUGUGUGUCGCAGAGGAGAAACAGACUAUGAAUCUCGCUAUGUCUGCUUCAAAAUUAAAAAUAAUGUGUAAGUUUAGUUUACCCUCUAUAACAGAAUUUCAAUGGUUGUUCUUAAAUUACUUUAAGAAAUUGGAUUGACUGUUCUUUUGUUUGGAAAUUAAACUUUUAAUCUAGGGGGGAGACAAUAAAAUGCGUAGCUGUGGGAAAGUGGUGUGAGUUCUUUGUGAACACUUGGUCUCAGAAAAUAAGCGGAAUAAACUACAACUAUGAUAAGAUUGUUGCAGUCUUGCGUUUCUGGAGAAUAACUUCUUACUGUGGUUGGUUCUUAUUAUAGUUUUAUGAACUGACUUUACAAUUUUAUUAGUUACAUUGACUGAAUCUUUUUUUUUUCCUAUAGGAAACAAUGUUUUAAUGAGUGAAUAUGGCUGUUCACGUCUAUACAUUGAUCCAAUCUUUUAUGAACUUGACAUUCCAAGUUAUCUGUAAGUUAAAAAUUCUCUUAUAAUUGGCUUAUAUUUUGGUUGAGAUUCAUAGCCUAGGUAAACAUAAAGCAUAUGUUUUUUUGCAGGCGAUCAUUCGACGAUGGAUCAAGUGACGAAGAGGAUGUGAUGAUGGAGAUGGUUGAUGAGAACUAACAUGUGAAGGAAGGAGGGAUUGGAUUUGCAAGGUUACUUCAGUUUCUCUUAGUUUAUGUUGUUUCUUUUUACAUUUUUAGAGGAGAUGAACUCUGUCUUUUUAAAAACUUCCUUGGAGGUAUGGAAAACUCCUUUUGUAAUCGACUUAAACCUACCCUAUUUGUUUCUUUUGUAUUUAAUCUCUAUUUUACUCUGUUUUCCAUAAAAAGUUUAAUUAGUAUAUUCCCUAAAUUUAAGUAAGUUUUCUAAAAACUAUAUUGUACUCAUAAUUGUUAAGCUACGCAAUAUCAAUAUUUAAAAGUAUAGAUUGACAACUAUAUGUUUUAUAUAACAACUCUACAAUUUCAGAAAGAGAUUACAUAAUCUAACCUUUAAAAUAGCUUCCAGAUUCCGUUAUGGCUACUAAAGGACAUCAAAUUUGUCUUCUCAGAUUGAAAUCAACUCGAAUAUUUUGCUUUCUCUGUAAACAUUGUAUUUGGUAAAAUCAGAACCAUAUAUAUUAAGACAUUGUUUUGUUAUGUAAGAGCUGUAAUAGAAAGCUUAACUUUGUAAAUCGUCUUCCUCAGACAAAAUCAUCAUCCAAUCAUUAUCUAAAAUCAAUUUAGGAACAAAUUAAAUAUUAGGAAACAAAAUCUAUUGCCUAAAUCUAUACAAAAUCAAAUUAUAGCCUCUUUUCACUCCAACGCAUAGAAGAUUUUGAUAAUAGAUAGAGUUACCCGAAUAAACACAAAAAUUAUAGACAUGCAAUUACGGAUCUAAACAACAAAUAUAAUUGAAAAUACUUACUCAUGCAAGUUCGUAUACCCACAGUAAUAGCCCAAGAUCUCUGUUGAAACACAGAAUUACAAAGAUUGUAAAUGAAUCAACAGAUUAUAAAAAUAGAUUGAUUGAAGAAGAAUCUCUAAAAACCUUACCUCUUUGGAGAAAUUCCGAAUCUGAUAUGGAAAUUAUAUGUACAGAGACUCGAUUGAUGAUCGAAACUUUUGACAUUGAUUGAGAAAUCGGAAAAGCUUCUGAUUUUUAGGGAUUCAUUCUUUGAAGACCAUAAGACAAAGAAUCGUGCUAUAAUCACUUCUGUCCAAAAGAAAAA
rnacentral:lncRNA from 1 species